ACGCACGCUGGCGGCGUGCCUAAUACAUGCCCGUUGAGCGCUGAAGGUUGGUACUUGUACCAACUGGAUGAGCAGCGAACGGGUGAGUAACGCGUGGGGAAUCUGCCUUUGAGCGGGGGACAACAUUUGGAAACGAAUGCUAAUACCGCAUAAAAACUUUAAACACAAGUUUUAAGUUUGAAAGAUGCAAUUGCAUCACUCAAAGAUGAUCCCGCGUUGUAUUAGCUAGUUGGUGAGGUAAAGGCUCACCAAGGCGAUGAUACAUAGCCGACCUGAGAGGGUGAUCGGCCACAUUGGGACUGAGACACGGCCCAAACUCCUACGGGAGGCAGCAGUAGGGAAUCUUCGGCAAUGGACGAAAGUCUGACCGAGCAACGCCGCGUGAGUGAAGAAGGUUUUCGGAUCGUAAAACUCUGUUGGUAGAGAAGAACGUUGGUGAGAGUGGAAAGCUCAUCAAGUGACGGUAACUACCCAGAAAGGGACGGCUAACUACGUG
rnacentral:rRNA from 1 species